AGCAGUGUGCUGUAGUGUUUGGGGCACUGGACUGUGACUCUGGAGACCAGGGUUCGAAUCCCGGCUCAGCCA